rnacentral:rRNA from 1 species
AAUAGAUACCCAGGUAGUCCACGCCGUAAACGAUGUCGACUUGGAGGUUGUUCCCUUGAGGAGUGGCUUCCGGAGCUAACGCGUUAAGUCGACCGCCUGGGGAGUACGGCCGCAAGGUUAAAACUCAAAUGAAUUGACGGGGGCCCGCACAAGCGGUGGAGCAUGUGGUUUAAUUCGAUGCAACGCGAAGAACCUUACCUACUCUUGACAUCCACGGAACUUUUCAGAGAUGAAUUGGUGCCUUCGGGAACCGUGAGACAGGUGCUGCAUGGCUGUCGUCAGCUCGUGUUGUGAAAUGUUGGGUUAAGUCCCGCAACGAGCGCAACCCUUAUCCUUUGUUGCCAGCGGUCCGGCCGGGAACUCAAAGGAGACUGCCAGUGAUAAACUGGAGGAAGGUGGGGAUGACGUCAAGUCAUCAUGGCCCUUACGAGUAGGGCUACACACGUGCUACAAUGGCGCAUACAAAGAGAAGCGACCUCGCGAGAGCAAGCGGACCUCAUAAAGUGCGUCGUAGUCCGGAUUGGAGU